rnacentral:tRNA from 1 species
GUAUGUAGCUCAGUGGUAGAGCACUUGACUAGCAUGCACAAGGUCCUGGGUUGGAUCUCCAGCACCACA